UACGGGGGGGGCAAGCGUUGUUCGGAAUUACUGGGCGUAAAGGGCUCGUAGGUGGCCAACUAAGUCAGACGUGAAAUCCCUCGGCUUAACCGGGGAACUGCGUCUGAUACUGGAUGGCUUGAGUUCGGGAGAGGGAUGCGGAAUUCCAGGUGUAGCGGUGAAAUGCGUAGAUAUCGGCAGGAACACCAAGGACGAAGGUAACCACCUGGGCAUCAGCUGACACUCAUGUGCGACAGCGUGGGGAGCGAACCGG
rnacentral:rRNA from 1 species